CGCCAGAUCUGUCGCCGUCACAGCCCGCGGAGGUUGCCGUCGCCGCGGCAUCCGAGCGUUGCCUUCUGCCUCGCCGCGCCACGCCGCCUUCCGCCUGCCUGCGCCAUCACCCGCCGGCGCCGCACCGCGCUGCCCCGGCGCCUCCCUGUGCCGCCGCCAUCCUCACUAGUGAGAGCAAGAAAAGGAAAGAGAAAGAAAGUGAAAAAAAAGAGGGAG
rnacentral:lncRNA from 1 species